UAGUCCACGCCCUAAACGAUGUCAACUAGACGUUGGGUUCAUUAAGGAACUUAGUGUCGAAGCUAACGCGUUAAGUUGACCGCCUGGGGAGUACGGUCGCAAGGUUGAAACUCAAGGGAAUUGACGGGGGCCCGCACAAGCGGUGGAGCAUGUGGUUUAAUUCGAUGCAACGCGAAGAACCUUACCAGCCCUUGACAUCCUGGGAAUCUUGUAGAGAUACGAGAGUGCCUUCGGGAAUCCAGUGACAGGUGCUGCAUGGCUGUCGUCAGCUCGUGUCGUGAGAUGUUGGGUUAAGUCCCGCAACGAGCGCAACCCUGUCCUUAGUUGCCAGCACUUCGGGUGGGAACUCUAAGGAGAUUGCCGGUGAUAAACCGGNGGAAGUGGGGAUGACGUCAAGUCAUCAUGGGCCCUUAUGGGGCUGGGGCUACACACGUGCUACAAUGGGUCGGUACAGAGGGGUCACGAAACCCGCGAGGGGGAGCUAAAUCCCAGAAAGCCGAUCUUAGUCCGGGAUCGCAGUCU
rnacentral:rRNA from 1 species